GACGAACGCUGGCGGCGUGCCUAACACAUGCAAGUCGAGCGGUAAGGCCCCUUCGGGGGUACACGAGCGGCGAACGGGUGAGUAACACGUGAGCAACCUACCCUCAACUUUGGGAUAGGCCUCGGAAACGGGGUCUAAUACCGAAUAUCACUCCUUGUUUCAUGGCGGGGGGUUGAAAGUUCUGGCGGUCGGGGAUGGGCUCGCGGCCUAUCAGCUUGUUGGUGGGGUAAUGGCCUACCAAGGCGUCGACGGGUAGCCGGCCUGAGAGGGCGACCGGCCACACUGGGACUGAGACACGGCCCAGACUCCUACGGGAGGCAGCAGUGGGGAAUAUUGCGCAAUGGACGAAAGUCUGACGCAGUAACGCCGCGUGAGGGAUGACGGCCUUCGGGUUGUAAACCUCUUUCAGCAGGGACGAAGCGAGAGUGACGGUACCUGCAGAAGAAGGACCGGCCAACUACGUGCCAGCCGCCGCGGUAAUAC
rnacentral:rRNA from 1 species